CUCGAGGGUUUGAAACUCCAAGCUUGGCAUGACAUAGAUGUUUGUGGAAUGAAAUAAAUGAACAUUUGUGAGUUGACAUCAUCCUCCAGCUGUGUGUUUUAUCCAAGAAAUGAACAAGAUCAGAAUUUAAGUAUGUUUAUGUGUCCUGCCUCUCUGGCAAAAGAGUGAUGAGGAGGAAAUGGACAAUUAGUUAUGACAAAAGCACAAAUGACAAAAUAAAAAAUAAAUAAACUGGAC
rnacentral:lncRNA from 1 species